GACGAACGCUGGCGGCGUGCUUAACACAUGCAAGUCGAACGGAAAGGCCCUGCUUUUGUGGGGUGCUCGAGUGGCGAACGGGUGAGUAACACGUGAGUAACCUGCCCUUGACUUUGGGAUAACUUCAGGAAACUGGGGCUAAUACCGGAUAGGAGCUCCUGCUGCAUGGUGUGGGUUGGAACGUUUCGGCGGUUGGGGAUGGACUCGCGGCUUAUCAGCUUGUUGGUGGGGUAGUGGCUUACCAAGGCUUUGACGGGUAGCCGGCCUGAGAGGGUGACCGGCCACAUUGGGACUGAGAGACGGCCCAGACUCCUACGGGAGGCAGCAGUGGGGAAUAUUGCACAAUGGGCGGAAGCCUGAUGCAGCAACGCCGCGUGCGGGAUGACGGCCUUCGGGUUGUAAACCGCUUUCGCCUGUGACGAAGCGUGAGUGACGGUAAUGGGUAAAGAAGCACCGGCUAACUACGUG
rnacentral:rRNA from 1 species